rnacentral:rRNA from 1 species
UCUGGUGCCAAUGGCAAAGAGGUCACACCUGUUCCCAUGCCGAACACAGAAGUUAAGCUCUUUAGCGCCGAUGGUAGUCGGACUUAUGUUCCGCGAGAGUAGGACGGUGCCAGGU